rnacentral:misc_RNA from 1 species
AAGUCGUAACAAGGUUUUAGGUGAACUGCGGAAGGAUCAUUAACACGUAUCCAACGUUAAACCCCCCGUGCACACAGCGACCUGCUCCCCUCAAUUUCGGUCUUUUGGCAAUCCCUGGUAAAUCAUCGCCGAACAGUUUUGAUUCAGGGACAUCCAAAGGGCCGGGGUAGUAGUAUGCAAAAGCGACCUGGUUUCUUUGAAGCAGAAAGUGUGAUGGCGUGAGCCGGAGAACGGACCGAGUGGUAGUUCAAAGGUGCCUUCUGUCGCGCACUGUGGAAAGGAAGACGCUUUACGAAUCACGGUCAGUGACCGGGUUCCUGGUCCUAGACCCCAUAUUCACCACCCGCAAGUAGGGAUACGUCCCUACCAUCAAAUAAAUACUUGAACAACUGUUAACAAUGGAUAUCUUGGUUCUC